rnacentral:rRNA from 1 species
GAACGCUAGCUACAGGCUUAACACAUGCAAGUCGAGGGGCAGCAUGGUCUUAGCUUGCUAAGGCCGAUGGCGACCGGCGCACGGGUGAGUAACGCGUAUCCAACCUGCCUUACACUCUUGGACAGCCUUCUGAAAGGGAGAUUAAUACAAGAUGUUAUCAUGAGUAAGCAUUUUCGCAUGAUUAAAGGUUUACCGGUGUAAGAUGGGGAUGCGUUCCAUUAGAUAGUAGGCGGGGUAACGGCCCACCUAGUCUUCGAUGGAUAGGGGUUCUGAGAGGAAGGUCCCCCACAUUGGAACUGAGACACGGUCCAAACUCCUACGGGAGGCAGCAGUGAGGAAUAUUGGUCAAUGGACGAGAGUCUGAACCAGCCAAGUAGCGUGAAGGAUGAAGGUUCUAUGGAUUGUAAACUUCUUUUAUACGGGAAUAAACGGAUCCACGUGUGGAUUUUUGCAUGUACCGUAUGAAUAAGGAUCGGCUAACUCCGUGCCAGCAGCCGCGGUAAUACGGAGGAUCCGAGCGUUAUCCGGAUUUAUUGGGUUUAAAGGGAGCGUAGAUGGGUUGUUAAGUCAGUUGUGAAAGUUUGCGGCUCAACCGUAAAAUUGCAAUUGAUACUGGCAGUCUUGAGUACAGUUGAGGUAGGCGGAAUUCGUGGUGUAGCGGUGAAAUGCUUAGAUAUCACGAAGAACUCCGAUUGCGAAGGCAGCUUACUAACCUGUAACUGACAUUGAUGCUCGAAAGUGUGGGUAUCAAACAGGAUUAGAUACCCUGGUAGUCCACACGGUAAACGAUGAAUACUCGCUGUAGGCGAUAUACAGUCUGCGGCCAAGCGAAAGCAUUAAGUAUUCCACCUGGGGAGUACGCCGGCAACGGUGAAACUCAAAGGAAUUGACGGGGGCCCGCACAAGCGGAGGAACAUGUGGUUUAAUUCGAUGAUACGCGAGGAACCUUACCCGGGCUUAAAUUGCAACCGAAUAUGGCGGAAACGCUAUAGCUAGCAAUAGCGGUUGUGAAGGUGCUGCAUGGUUGUCGUCAGCUCGUGCCGUGAGGUGUCGGCUUAAGUGCCAUAACGAGCGCAACCCUUGCCGAUAGUUACUAACAGGUCAUGCUGAGGACUCUGUCGGGACUGCCAUCGUAAGAUGUGAGGAAGGUGGGGAUGACGUCAAAUCAGCACGGCCCUUACGUCCGGGGCUACACACGUGUUACAAUGGGGGGUACAGAGGGCUGCUACCACGCAAGUGGAUGCCAAUCCCAAAAACCUCUCUCAGUUCGGAUUGAAGUCUGCAACCCGACUUCAUGAAGCUGGAUUCGCUAGUAAUCGCGCAUCAGCCACGGCGCGGUGAAUACGUUCCCGGGCCUUGUACACACCGCCCGUCAAGCCAUGGGAGCCGGGGGUACCUGAAGUGCGUAACCGCAAGGAGCGCCCUAGGGUAAAACUGGA